rnacentral:rRNA from 1 species
UACGAAGGGGACUAGCGUUGUUCGGAAUUACUGGGCGUAAAGCGCACGUAGGCGGAUUUGUAAGUCUGGGGUGAAAUCCCGGGGCUCAACCUCGGAACUGCCUUUGAUACUGCAAAUCUCGAGUCCGAUAGAGGUGGGUGGAAUUCCUAGUGUAGAGGUGAAAUUCGUAGAUAUUAGGAAGAACACCGGUGGCGAAGGCGGCCCACUGGAUCGGUACUGACGCUGAGGUGCGAAAGCGUGGGGAGCAAACAGG